rnacentral:rRNA from 1 species
CCUACGGGAGGCAGCAGUGGGGAAUAUUGCACAAUGGGCGAAAGCCUGAUGCAGCGACGCCGCGUGAGGGAUGACGGCCUUCGGGUUGUAAACCUCUUUCAGCAGGGAACAAGGCCAGUGUUUAGCUGGUUGAGGGUACUUGCAGAAGAAGCCACGGCUAACUACGUGCCAGCAGCCGCGGUAAUACGUAGGUGGCAAGCGUUAUCCGGAAUUAUUGGGCGUAAAGAGCUCGUAGGCGGUUUGUCGCGUCUGCCGUGAAAGUCCGGGGCUUAACUCCGGAUCUGCGGUGGGUACGGGCAGACUAGAGUGAUGUAGGGGAGACUGGAAUUCCUGGUGUAGCGGUGAAAUGCGCAGAUAUCAGGAGGAACACCGAUGGCGAAGGCAGGUCUCUGGGCAUUAACUGACGCUGAGGAGCGAAAGCAUGGGGAGCGAACAGGAUUAGAUACCCUGGUAGUCCAUGCCGUAAACGUUGGGCACUAGGUGUGGGGGACAUUCCACGUUUUCCGCGCCGUAGCUAACGCAUUAAGUGCCCCGCCUGGGGAGUACGGCCGCAAGGCUAAAACUCAAAUGAAUUGACGGGG